GACGAACCGUGCGAACGUUGUUCGGAAUCACUGGGCUUAAAGGGCGCGUAGGCGGGCUGACAAGUCUGGGGUGAAAUGCCGCGGCUCAACCGUGGAACUGCCUCAGAUACUGUCGGCCUCGAGGGAGGUAGGGGCGUGCGGAACUGUAGGUGGAGCGGUGAAAUGCGUAGAUAUCGGGAGGAACACCUGAGGCGAAGGCGGGCUACUGGGCCGAUACUGACGCUGAUGUGCGAAAGCCAGGGGAGCGAACGGG
rnacentral:rRNA from 1 species